rnacentral:misc_RNA from 1 species
GAUGAAGAACGUAGCGAAAUGCGAUAGGUAAUGUGAAUUGCAGAAUUCAGUGAAUCAUCGAAUCUUUGAACGCACAUUGCGCCCCCUGGUAUUCCGGGGGGCAUGCCUGUCCGAGCGUCAUUACAACCCUCAAGCUCAGCUUGGUGUUGGGCCCCGCCGCCCCGGCGGGCCCUAAAGUCAGUGGCGGUGCCGUCCGGCUCCGAGCGUAGUAAUUCUUCUCGCUCUGGAGGUCCGGUCGUGUGCUCGCCAGCAACCCCCAAUUUUUUUCAGGUUGACCUCGGAUCAGGUAGGGAUACCCGCUGAACUUAAGCAUAUCAAUAAGCGGAGGA